rnacentral:tRNA from 1 species
GGAGAUGUGGCGAAAUUGGCAAACGCUAGCAAGGGUCACGCAAGGUACCACGAACUGUUGAAAAAGUAGUCAGAUUCUUUCUAGAGAGAAACACUACACAGUCGAGACAUAACCAUGCAGGUUCAAAUCCUGUCAUCUCCC